rnacentral:miRNA from 1 species
GUUGUAAAACUGGUUCUUACAUUAGAAUUUAUGGUUUGUGGAGAAAACUCUCUGCUAGAAAAUUCUCCAGAGAAUAUUCUCCACAAACUUUAAACUCUAAUGUAAGAACCAGUUUUACAA